AACAACCAUGCAUCUUUCGUAACUAUUGAUAUCAGGAUCGGUUUGAAGAUAGCGUGGUACCAACGAUAAGAAGCUAAAGCAAAAUUAUUUUCUAAUAAGGAUGUAAUGGCACUGUCCGCGGCCGUAUUAUCGUAAUAUCCUCGACUAGUCAAAUACAUCAAUGCAAGACAAUGGAGGAAAUAAAUAAUCAUUUUAUGUUACAAAGACGCAUAUAUACCUGUAAACAAUGUAGAGGAUGCAAGCUCUUUCAAGCAUUUAGUAAUCAACGCAGUUACGAGAAUAACUUGAUGAUCGGCUAAAGCAGGUGUAACUAUUUUUUCGAAGAAAUUUAUUCUAAUGUGCUUCGCCAAUACAUCAGCUACAUCCGUAGACGCUUCUCUUAUAAGCUGAUUACAAUAAUCAAACCACAUGUAAAAAGCUGCGACCUGUCGACAACCAGGGAACUUUUUUUCUUUCGUCCAUAAAGGUGAAUCCAAACCCCACGUCACGUCGACAACAUCGAUCUCAUUUGGAUCUACGUGAGCUGGUACAGCAUUAAAAAGAUUCUCUAAACGGUUAGUUAUAAUCAUCGAUAAAUCGCUUUGUGCUACCAUUUGAGCAAAGGUGAUAUCUUCGAGCGAAGCUAAGACCAUUAUACCUUCGCAGGCUCUCACUCUAACCGUGUUGUCCUAGAAUGAAAGGAAAGAGAAAAAAAAAGAAAAAAAAAAAAAAAAAAAAAAAAAAAAAAAAAAAAAGAAAAAAAAAAGAUCGUUAAAAGAAAUCUCAUUGUAAAUAAAACAAAGUAAAGUGAAAUAAACACGAUUAUUUACAGCACUGUUUACGUAGCUCAUAAGAGCUUCCAAUAAAAGGCAUUUUGAUUUCGCUGGUAUUCGCGAUGGUAUCAAAAGACUUCGUCCGCAAUUAUUCUCUAUUGGAUUAUUUGUCUUGUCACAGGUAUUGCAAUCCUCGGUUCAUAGUCAAAGUCGAAUUACAACAGGCAUUUUGUGUGAGCGGACUCGAGGAUUGGGAUAUAUUCUCCGUAUCUUUGGAAGAAGUAGAUGCGUUCGAACGUGUGGAAGUGUUAGGUGGAUUCAAUAAAUUCGGAUUUACCAAUGCAAUUGCCUGUGUAUUCAAUGGUUCGAACAAAGGAUUAGAAUUAUUCUUUUUUCUAUUUGGAACACUCACCCGACAACUCGUUAAUUCACUGAUCUUUGCCGUCAUGAGAUCGUGAAAGUGCGGAUGAAAUCUGUAAACCGAACCGUCGAUACCAACGGUGACAUGGUCUUCUUCCAUUUUAUUUAAAAGUGCAGCGAUGCCAGCACUAGCAAGAUGAGCUGCUCUCCUCGAAACGAUCGAGCAAACGUACCUAACGUUCUCACAGUCCUGGUCAGAAACGUUACGCUGACCUAAUUCCAUUAAAAUAUCACGACAAUUCGUGUAUUUGCCUUUGGGAUCACUGGAAGUAUUAAAUCAUCAUUAAAAAAAAAAAAAAAAAAAAAAAAAAAGAAAAAAAACGAAACGAGAAGAUAGAUAAAUAGAUAGAUAGAUAAAGAGAAAGAGAGACAGAGAUCAAACUGACUUUUCUAUUUCGGAUACGUAUUUUGUGAAGAAUUUUCCACGCUUUUUGAGAUCACUUGAACAUUUGCCACCAAAGAUUAGACCCUCGUUGACAAGCUUCUCAAGUACAAGCCUCGUCAGUUCGCCCAUGUACAUGCCCGAUAUCAUUUUUUCAAAUAAUUGUUUUCCUGGAUUGAUCGAACUAUUGUCGAUCGAACGGUCAAAUUCUGUAAGAACAAAGUCGAGAGUCCCAUGUUCACCAAAAGCGCCCCAUUCCGUGUUGAUCAGCAUAUGUGACUUUUCCUGAUCGUAAUUUCCGGGGAUCGCACACUCUACCUUCUUCGUUUUCUCUACGUAACAAGCAUUGGUUCCUGUUCCUGUUUAAAUGAGAAACAAAAAAAAAAAAAAAAAAAAAAAGAAAAAGGGAGAGAAAGAAAAAAAUAAUUUAUCGAGGAUUUGUCUCAAGGGAUUUGAUAAUUUGAAUAUUUGAAUUUGUUUUUUUUUUAAAACGUACCAACGAUCAAGCCAAUACGACAAUUUCUAUUCUUCCAAGCACAGGACAUUAAGAUAGAUUCGAUGAACAACGUUAAUUGACAAAUGAUGAUGUAGAGAAAGAAAGGAAAAGGUAAAGAAGAAAAUAUCUAAUAAUAUCGUACGUCUCUUUUUCUAAUGGCUUCCUCCAAUAAAGCGACUACGUCUUCGCCAAUAACUCCGCUACAAUUAAAGCCCUUUGUCCAUCUUACAAGAUACCCUUUUGUUAAACCAUGCUGGGAUAAUGGAAAACUAAAGGUUAUCAUUGUACAACGAAAAGAGCCUGUUACCUGUGCCAUUUGGAAGAUCCUGUACGUAUGUGGUAAAACAUUUCACAAUGGCAUCAUCGUGACCAGACUUUGAGAGCCCUUUAUUAAUCUCUUCCAAGAGCCUUGCCAUAACCAUUUUGAGUUGAUCGUUGGAGAGAACCAGGUCCUUGCAGGCAUCUCGUAUCUUAGAUAAGAAAACAGCAAAGUUAAAUACAACAUUCUAAUUAGCUCAUUAUUUACAGAUGAACGAAUCAACAUUCGACGAUUAAUAUUCUUCAAACGACCUUCGACGAAUUUUUCUAUUAUCCAUUAUUAUUUUUACUAGAAAGAUCUCUCCUCUACUCGAGAAAAAAAGAAAUAUGAAAUAUCCUAUUGCGUAAUUCUGCUUCGUCAUGGUUAUUUAUAACGAAAGUAACGAAGAGCGAUUUACCUUUUCAAUCGUUCGACCAAUACAGAAUAUUUUUGGAUAUGCUCGAGACGACUUUUUCAUUGAUAUAAAAUUUCGAAGUUUAAGUACGAGUUUAAUGCGUUAAUUAAUUCAUCGGAAUGAAUUUUAUAUAAAUAUGUAUCCAAUGUUCGAGCGAAUAAUUCACCAUAUUAUGGAAUAUUUCGAUAUAACGUCAAAUCAUUAACAGGUGUCUCGAGUAAUAUUAUCAAAAUUGUUCAGAUAGAAAAUUUUACAAUUGAAAAUUUCAUUCGAUGUGAUCGAAAUGAUGAUAAAAUUUAUUUCAUUUUAUUUAUUUACUUAUUUCUUUUAUCGUUCAUUUUUCGAUUAAAAUAUUGAAUAUUUCUCAUUUUAAUCUCUCUUCCAUUGGAAAUAUUUGAAUCACGUGACAUUUGGCGCGCUACUCCGGUCACGUGAUACUCGCCGCAAAUCUCAAAUUUCCCGGGAAAUCAAGACUUCCGGAGUCUUAACAACACCCUCCUUGGAGGGUUUAAACAUCGAUCUCUUUCUGACGUUGUUGGCACACCCUUGAGCCAGCCAAUAAAACUGUUCAUGAAUGGGUUAUACAGAGAAGGACGAUACACGAUAUACUUUUGUCUCUCUUUCUUUCUCUCUCUCUCGAAUACUAUAUAAUACUUAUACGCUCGUAGCUCAAUACAACGUGUAAAGGCCAAUGCACACAUUAAUUCGCAUAAUGAAUGUGCGGCAUAACGCUUUAGAAUCAUCCAGUUAAGGAUCGAUCAUUAUCAUUGUCGCACGCAAUUUACGUAAGAUUAAUCACGUUUAAACGAUAAAUGUCUCUAUCUACGUCUCAUAUUAAUUCAUAGUUGACCGAUAGAAAAGUUCAUAAAUUAAACAAGAACUUAUAUAUAUAUAUGAGUUCAAUAUCGCAUGAUUUUUUUUCUUUAUCCAGAAUACUUGUCAUUGACAUUAAGAAAUGAUAACGUGUUUCAAAUCGCUCUUACGUCGUAACAUAAUAUUUGAUAAUUUUAUCAUGACAUUAUAUAGUUUUAUGGUGACAUUAGAUGGAAUACAUUGACCCUCAUAAAUUCGAGUUACAACAAAUUUAAUGGGGUCAUUGAUAAUCCAACCAAGAAAUCGUGAUAACAAUUAAAUAGAUUGUAUUAGUGACUUUCGUCGAGAUACAAAUAUUUGUUUUUAAUUAAUUAAUAUGAUAUUAACCUUUAUACAUCUAUUAUUAUAAUCGUAUUACUUUCCGUCAAUGGACUUUGCUCGACGCAAAAGUUGUAUUCGUCAUUCAGAGAUAUUCUCGAAUUUAGUUCCGAUUAAUAAAUUCCUGUGGUUCUUCCAAAAAAAAAAAAAAAAAAAAAAAAAAAAAAAAACUUCAAAGACAGAAUAAAACGUGCUAUUUAUUAUUUAUUACUUAUGCAAAGCCGAUAAUCACUCCUUUUGAUUAUACGUUUCAUUAAACAAAUUCGAUUUUUUUUUCAUUCAUUUAGGCACGAUUAUAAUCGCUUAUAAUCUCGAUUUAAUACCAUCUAAUAUUAAAGUUUAAUAAACGAUUAUUUUCGAUACUAUUUCAGAUAUUUCACAAUUCUUUUGAAUUUUAAUGUUUCGUACCAAUAUUUAAACGUGCAUGUGCGUAUGUGUUCAUAUCUACUUCGAACAUUUUGACUAGGCCGAUUUAAAAUAAAUAAAGUCACGAUAAUUCAUAAUUAAUUUUGAUUCAGUCUGAUUUCCGAUAUCAGAAUGGCUACACUUAAAAAAAA